GGGUCAGUAGGCUGGUCGUGCCACCGGUACGUACUGGUCUCACUGAUUCCUCCUUCCUGAAGAACCGUAAUGCCAUUAAUUUGGUGUUGCGGGGAAACAGGACUGAUACUUUGAAAAAAUUAGAGUGUUUAAAGCAAGCUAACGCUUGAAUACAUUAGCAUGGAAUAAUGAAAUAGGACGAUCGAUCCUAUUUUGUAGGUUUCUAGAAUUGACGUA
rnacentral:rRNA from 1 species